AACGAACGCUGGCGGCGUGUCUUAAGCAUGCAAGUCGUGCGGCAAGGGUAGCAAUACCCCUAGAGCGGCGGACUGGUGAGUAACGCGUGGGUGAUCUACCUUUGGGAUCCGGGGAUAGCCACUAGAAAUAGUGGGUAAUACCGAAUACGUUCGUCGGGCCUUGGCCUGACGAGGAAAGGCGCUUCGGCGCCACCCGAAGAUGAGCCCGCGUCCCAUUAGCUAGUUGGUGAGGUAAAGGCCCACCAAGGCGAUGAUGGGUAGGCGGCCUGAGAGGGUGUACGCCCACAUUGGGACUGAGAUACGGCCCAAACUCCUACGGGAGGCAGCAGCUAAGAAUAUUCCGCAAUGGACGAAAGUCUGACGGAGCGACGCCGCGUGGAUGAUGAAGGCCGAAAGGUUGUAAAGUCCUUUUGUUGGGAAGAAUAACCAUGGGAGGUAAUGCCCGUGGGAUGACAUGAACCGACGAAUAAGCCCCGGCUAACUACGUG
rnacentral:rRNA from 1 species